UGAUGUUAGCGGCGGAGGGGUGAGUAACACGUGGAUAACCUACCUAUAAGACUGGGAUAACUUCGGGAAACCGGAGCUAAUACCGGAUAAUAUUUUGAACCGCAUGGUUCAAAAGUGAAAGACGGUCUUGCUGUCACUUAUAGAUGGAUCCGCGCUGCAUUAGCUAGUUGGUAAGGUGGCGGCUUACCAAGGCAACGAUGCAUAGCCGACCUGAGAGGGUGAUCGGCCACACUGGAACUGAGACACGGUCCAGACUCCUACGGGAGGCAGCAGUAGGGAAUCUUCCGCAAUGGGCGAAAGCCUGACGGAGCAACGCCGCGUGAGUGAUGAAGGUCUUCGGAUCGUAAAACUCUGUUAUUAGGGAAGAACAUAUGUGUAAGUAACUGUGCACAUCUUGACGGUACCUAAUCAGAAAGCCACGGCUAACUACGUGCCAGCAGCCGCGGUAAUACGUAGGUGGCAAGCGUUAUCCGGAAUUAUUGGGCGUAAAGCGCGCGUAGGCGGUUUUUUAAGUCUGAUGUGAAAGCCCACGGCUCAACCGUGGAGGGUCAUUGGAAACUGGAAAACUUGAGUGCAGAAGAGGAAAGUGGAAUUCCAUGUGUAGCGGUGAAAUGCGCAGAGAUAUGGAGGAGCACCAGUGGCGAAGGCGACUUUCUGGUCUGUAACUGACGCUGAUGUGCGAAAGCGUGGGGAUCAGACAGGAUUAGAUAACCUGGUAGUCCACGCCGUAAACGAUGAGUGCUAAGUGUUAGGGGGUUUCCGCCCCUUAGUGCUGCAGCUAACGCAUUAAGCACUCCGCCUGGGGAGUACGAC
rnacentral:rRNA from 1 species